rnacentral:lncRNA from 1 species
AAAUGAACAUGAAAUUCAAAGGGAAACAGGAGCAAUAAUCAUUACCAGCUGCCGUGUUAAGCAUUGCGAAAACGCUCACGAUUCACAGAAAAAUCCAUGCUGUUCUUUGAAGGCAUUCAAGCCUUAAUAGCUAGCUGGAUGAAUGUUUAACUUCUAGGCCAGGCACUACUCUGUCCCAACAAUAAGCCCUGUACAUUGGGAAAGGUGCCGAGACAUGAACUUUGGUCUUCUCUGCAAUCCAUCUGGAGCAUUCAGUGACAACAUCGACUUUGAAGUUGCACUGACCUGGCCAGCCCUGCCACUUACCAGGUUGGCAUCUGGCAUCUUUCUUGACACAUGUAGCAGUUGCUUUUUGACAGCUUGCUUCUUCAGUGAAUGAAUAAAUUAAUAAAGAGAAAUGUGAUGUUCAGUGAUCCAUUUUGCAGAUUGAGCCUCAUAUUUCAUAUCUGCCCCUGGCCUAAUGGUUGUUUACAGAAAGAGCUCAAUGAAUAUUGUUAAAUAACACUAACAAAGUUGACCUUAGAAUUGGAGUGCCUGGGUUAGAACCCUGCUGGUACCACCUGCUUACUGCAUGCUUCUGAUGUGAGUUCAGGAGAAGACACUGGCAAGGACAGCAAAGAACAGGAGAACACUCUAGCUUCCCUGAUAGCAUUCAAGGUGCUGUCCAAACUGACUGUGAUGGCACCCUCCAGACAGACAGCGAUGCCACAUGUUCAAGAUGGCAGAAUCACUAUCAGCUUCAAUUCCUGAAUGACUGCAGAGCAAAAUUUCUUACCCGCAACAUACACUCUAUUUUCAGCCUCCCUGGACUGUUACAUAAUGAUACAUAAAAAUAUUUCUUGUGUUGAGGCAUCCCAAAUUUGAUCUAUUUGUCAUCACAGUCUAUCCUCUGAAUAUAUUUCUGAUCCAAAUAAUGCUAGAUUCAUGCGAGUUUAUAGUCCAGAGAUUUUUUUUUUUUUUUUUUUUUGAGACAGAAUCUCACUGUCUCCCAGGCCGGGGUGCAGUGGCAUAAUCUUAGCUCACUGCAACCUCCACCUCCUGGGCUCAAGUGAUCCUCCCUCCUUAGCCUCCAUGAGUAGCUGGGACCACAGGUGUGCACCACCACACCCCGCUAAUUAUUUUGUAUUUUUUGCAGAGGGGGGUUUCACCACAUUGCCCAAGCUGGUCUCAAACUCCUAGACUUAAGGGAUCUGCCCGCCUUGGCCUCCCAAAAUGCUGAAAUUACACUUGUUAGCCAUAGUAAUAGUUCCUAGCCACAGUCCGGAGAUAUUUUAAAAACUUUAGUGUGAGUUAUUUCUCUUUGCUGUAAUUCUCUCAUGCAUUUUGAAAACCUUUUCUGCCAUACAGUGGUUUUUGGGAAGUCCUUUUGGACAGACAUAUCACAGGAUGGAGAAACUAAAGAGAGAGAAUGCAUUAAAGAAAAAAUAGUACUUCGUAUUUCAGAAAUUACAAAAGGGUGUCAUGCCCCACAGCAUGGUGGGCAGUCAUUUGUAACCCACAGAACAUUGAGUUUCUAAAAUUUGAGUGUUUUUAACUUACGAAGGCCAACUUUACUGAUGAAGUGAUUACCCCAAAUAUGUGAAAUCCAUAUUUCAAGCACAAUAGCAGGAAAUCGGAAAUGGGUAGGUAUAUUUCUGACUGUCAAAGAGUACAAAGUAAAGAGGGGCCCCUGAAGAGUGACACUACUGGAAAA